GCCUGGCUGGCUCAGUCGGUAGAGCAUGUGACUCUUAAUCUCAGGGUUGUGAGUUCAAGCCCCAUGUUGGGCG
rnacentral:tRNA from 1 species